CUUUUUGCCUUUUCUAGGGCCUCUUCCCACAGCAUAUGGAGGUUCCCAGGCUAGGGGUCUAAUCGGCCUACGCCAGAGCCACAGCAUCACGGGAUCCGAGCCACGUCUGCGACCUACACCACAGCUCACAGCAAUGACGGAUCCUUAACCCACUGAGCAAGGCCAGGGAUCGAACCCGAAACCUCAUGGUUCCUAGUCAAAUUCGUUAACCACUGCACCAUGACGGGAACUCCCCCGAGGUCUUAACAUUUACAAUCAUAAGCCUCCUGCUCAACAAACAUAGCAGAGGAUACCCUGCCCUGAGCUGGCCGCUGGAAUACAAAGAAUAAGUCAAGGUUUCCUCUCUGGAAGAUCAAGAGGAGGCAAGGUCACCAAACUUCUUGAAAGCUUGAAACUGCUCUUGUACACUUUGGUUUUUGCCCACCUGCUGGCAACCAGCAGGGAGUCAUUAGUGGCAAAAGACUGAUCGCUAACCUCAGUUAUAUCUCAGUCAUUGUCUCAGAAAUGAGACAAAGAAACACUCAGCAAGCUGGAGCCAUGUCCACCUCUUAGCUCGGACUAGAUGGAAGGGCAUGGUCUGUGAAAGUGAAAUGCGAUGGCGAAGUUGACCUCACAGUCUUUCCGAAUCUACCUGUCCCAGGGCAGGGAGGAAACACAAAACAACACCCCUCUGCCACACCAAAGGAACCUAGGACUGGUCUGGUUGAUUUUCUUCUCUGCUCUUGCCUAUGAGCACAAACUGCUCCAGAGAGACAGGGGCAGUGGGAGGGGCCCUGGGUCUGAAUCUCUGAUCUGUGAUUUCCAAGCUGUGGUUGGGCUCUAAGACCCUGAGUUUCUUCCAGUAUGUAAUGAAGAGAAUCAUGCUUACCUCAACAGGGCUGUGAAAAUUACAGCUGAUCUGUACAAAGCAUACAGCCUAUUGCCUGACACAAAGCAGCAGUGAACAAAUGAUACCCACAGGCACGCAUGUGUGUGAGCGCAGGUGCUCUCUCUCUCACACACACACACACAACAGCCCUGAGAGCUGACCCUUAGUAACUCGUGUUGGACAACAGUCCUGACCAGCCAGAAGAAAUAAUCCCAAGUGCCUGAGGGGAGGAUGUGGUGUUUACGUGACAGGUGCAACAUAGGAAAGACAAAGCUGAAUUACGUAAAAGGAAAUUUCACAUUCUAGGGAAUGCUAACAUCGAUGCAAACAUUAAUUUUAUUUAGGAUAUUAAAUCACGGUAGAAUACGGAGGACAUUGAAAAAUAUACAUAAUUUGGGUGGUUCCAUGAGUGUGCUGGGUUUGUGAACGUUUACUGAGCUGCACACUUACAGUAUGUGUACUGUAGGGAUAGUAUGCUUCAACACAUUUAACUCUAUAGUUGAAGCUAUAUAUAUAUAUAUAUCUGUCUUUAUUAUAUAUACAGAUAUAUAAUAAAGUUAAAAUGCUAUCUGGAUUUUCUUUCUUUCUGGUCUGAGAGACUCUUCUGUUAGGGGCUCUGAAAUUAAUAAAUGCUUCCUGCCAGUUUGCUGCUUUUUCCAUUUAUAGAACAAUGCCAUUGCUUACACCCCCCUGGCUCUGUGUGAAGAAACUAUAAUGAGGGAGGGAUGUUUUCGUUUAGUAAACAAAGCACGAAAAACAGCAUGGCAACUACAUCUCUUGGAAUCACCUCUGCAUUUAAAGACCUACCCAAUGAGCUUCCACAGAAAACUUCUAAUCAAGGAAGAACACCCUCCAACCUUAGAAAGCCCCAGGCGAGUUUUUCACUGGCAUCAUUCCUAGAAGGUCCAUUUUUACUUUGCUCCAACAAAUGCCUCUCCUCUCAGGAGGUCCUGCCUCCUCUUCUCCUCUGUGUGUGUUCUCCUUCCCCUUGGUUGUAGACAGUUUGGCACAGCCUUGCCCUGCCCCCACCUCCUCCAUCCAUUCACUUUAGAAUCUCAACACUUAAAAACAAACAAGAGCCACUUCCUCUAGAAAAGACUCUGAGUUUUAAUCCCUUCCAGAUGGAAGAAACUGACAUCUGAUGUCAACUAGAGUCACUGGAUUCAAAGAUGCUGGGGACGGUAUUCAAUUUCUACAGGUUCCCUCGAGUUUUAAUUUUUAACACCAUUUGUGGGAAAGUGAAGAGCCUGCACUUUUGGCCAGGAUCACUCUUUAGCAACCGAAUGGGUAAAGAAUGCCAAUUAGCCCAUCUCAAAUUCGCUUUCCUUCCCUGUAAAACUGAUGGUGAAAAUCUCUCCCUUUUAGAGGUAUAGGAAGAGUUCAGUAAUCUGUGGAAAAUACUUAAGAUGAUGCCUAGUACACAGAAGUCCUCGGUAAACAAUGGCUAUAAUUAUUAUUCUCAUCUUUGAAUGUUUAUGAUCAGAACCACAAUGAGUAAAUACGAACUGAGCAAUCUUAGAAUGAGAAACAUCUACUACUGGUUUCAAUCCAAUUGAACAUUCUAAGGUUAGGAAAGAAAGGGGCUGCCCAAUGACCUCUUUCCUAAGUAAGGAUGACCAUGCACUCAUUUAUCUAUUCAUCUUUUCAUGAAACAUGUAUUUGGUACAUGCUUUGUGCUGGACAUUGAGGCGCCUAAGUUAUGUGUCACCUCAAGCUGAAGAGACUAACAUAUCCAGCACAAUCGCCUUGAUAUGAAAUGGCUGCUAUGGUUGCUGGGCUUAGAACUCAGGCUGAUACAGGAGCAGAAAGGGAGCCAAAGAAAUUCAUUAUAAUCCACCCAUUCUCUAUACUCAUACAACAGUGAGAGUACCCUGUGCAAUUCUAACCAUCACAUUAUCCACAGUACGUGCUCAGAAAAAGAAAGAAAGAGCAAGUGAAUUUUCCACCGAUAGAUGAUGGGCAAUUCUGCAUGUCCACCCAAGGAGAGAGCAGGUAGCUCAUUUCGGUUCCCAGGCGGGUCUCCCAGGCUCUAUCAUGACCAGGGUGCCAGCAGAAAAUUACAAAAUGGUACAGAUGGGCUAAUAAAGAGGUAGUUUAGCGUAAAAGAAAGUUAUGGGCAGGGUUAAAGGAAACUAAAAGAGAGAGUGACGGUUCCAGACUAGCAGACGAUGGUGACCAUUAGCAACUCCACAUCUCAGGAUUACGUAGAGAGGGCAGAAUUACGUAGAGAGGGCAGUUUCCAGAGACUAAAGGGGACAGGUGUCAAGGAAAGGGCUGCCUGAUGAGCUGUGACCAAAAUAGCAGGGAGGGAACAGAGAAAUAAGUACUGUGACCUCACUCUCCUCCCUUCUAACUGCUUCCUUCUAGGGCCGCCCAUUGAACCAGCCAAUGGCCAUGGAGCCUGUGACACAGGCCAUGUAAGUCAGCCUCCUGGGGCACGUGACAGGCUGGGAAAGGAUGGAGAAUGAAUCUGGAGGACAAACAGAAAUGUUCUGCGUACAGGCUGGGUAUCCCACCAUGCAGAAUAUAAUUCUUUACAUAUAAACACGUGUUUUUCUUUUUUUUAAUGCAACUGGAGUCACCCAAGGAUAUUCUGGACUUUAUGCGUUUUUCCUUACAUAUUAGCAACACAACACCAACCGUAUGAGAUGACACUUGACUGAACUUUGUCUCAUUUAGUCCUCACAGCAAGUUGAGUGAGUUAUGCCUGUUCUUCCAAUUUUACAGAUGAAAAGCAGACUCAGAAAAGUUGAAUGUCUCACUAAGCGGCAGGGGAAGAACUCACGCUUCUCCCACCUGACAACUCUUAAAUGGUUUUUCCAUUCUACCAAGUUGAAAAGUUACUACAGAGAUUGAUUGGCAAAAGUCAAUGUUACAGAGACUUGGUUUGCAGCCCUGCAAUUAUCAAAGAUGAGGAAAACUUGGAAGAAAUACCCAGCACUGAAUCUCCAGCAAUGAAUCAAGUCUACUGCUGAAGCAACAACAUGUGCCUACCUUUAAGUCAUUUCUUUUUCUUUUCUUUUUUUCCCCCCUUUCGUGGCCACCCUUGCAGCAUGUGGAUGUUCCCGGGCCAAGGACUGAAUCCGAGCCACAGCUUCAGCAAUGCCAGAUCCUUAAGCCUCUGUGGCAGGCUGGGGAUCGAACCUGAGUCUCCUCUGCAACCCGAGCUGCUGCAGUGGGAUCCUUAACCCACUUCGCCCGCAGCAGGAACUCCUCAAGUCAUUUCUGAAUAAUCAACCAAGGCUAGAAAUCUGUAGAUGACAAUCUAGGGCUGAUGACUUCUGACAAGCACAGCUGGCCUGCCACCCGUGCUGCAUGUUAACGAAGCUCUAAUAUCAUCGCCACAUACUGUGUAGGAGGGGAAGUGUGGCAUUGCCGAGAAGCAGGAAAGAAGAAUGUGAUUUCCAAAAUCAGACCCAAGGACUUGGUAGAAACCAGGAGAUGAACACUUUUUUCAUGCUCACUAAAAGUCUAUCGAAAACCUAUGCAUAUUGUUCAUGCACCAUUAUUUAGUGACAUUCAUUACUUGCUACAGCCUUGGAUUGAAGCUGCAGGCUGAAAAAUAGUUACAUGUGGGCUCAUGCGCUCUGGAGCUGGAAACCCGGGCUCAGGCCCCACCACGAUUUCUGGCUAUGUGAGUGAGAAUAAACAAAUUAGUUUACCAAUCUAGCCUCAAUUUCCUUACCUGCGAAGGUGAGAAUAACAGGUUAUUUCAUUAGUACAGAACGAGGCUUUAAUAAGAAAACACAUUCAGAGUGUCCGGUAUAUAACAAGCAUCAACAGUGUCCUGUGUGUGCUCCUUUCAUCAUUAUCAUCAGCAUCUUCAAGCCUUUGACACCAUCUCUUCAACUCCUCUCACCAUCUUUUUAAGAAUAUUUGCAUAGGCGUUCCUGUCGUGGCUCGGCAGCUAAUGAACCCAACGAGUAUCCAUGAGGAUGCGGGUUCAAUCCCUGGCCUUGCUCAGUGGCUUAAGGAUCCGGCAUUGCCUGAGCUGUGGUGUAGGCAGCAGACUCGGCUCAGAUCCAGUGUUGCUGUGGCUGUGGUAUAGGCUGGCAGCUACAGCUCCAAUUCGAUCCCUAGCCUGGGAACCUCCAUAUGCCUCAGGUGCAGCCCUAAAAAGACAAAAAAAUAAAAAAUAAAAGAAUAAAGUAAGUUUGCUUGAAGACCAUUACAAACGGUUUCUCAAGACUGGGGGUUCCUCUUCUGUAACCCAGUCUAGGCAGGUGGCAUCUGCCCCUCUUUGUGCUGUUCCUUGAGAAUUAAGACUUGGAGGAACUGUCAAGGAAAUGAUGAUACCCAGGCUACCGCUACUGUUGAGAGCGAUAAACUGUCCUUUGUCCCCAGCCCAGGGGUCUCCUGCCAGCAUCCAUGAAAUGGCAGGCAAACUUGUUGGCUCAAGUAAAAUAAACUCUCACAAACUUUUGACAGUUCUCUGACAUUAUCGAAAUGGUGUCUCUUCACCCAGAUUAAACAGUUGUAAAAGGUAACGUUUAACCCACUUACACUACAAUCUUCGGAUACUCUUCAAAAAACCCAAGGGGGAAGGAAGCAUUUACUCCAAGAUUCCAUGAAGUCACUAAUGAAUGGGGCGGCACAAGCAAACUGUGAAAAGUUGCAUGUCACAUAUUAGAAAUUAUUUUUAUUAGAGUGCGCAAUUAAGACAUUUUGCAGAUUAACACGACUCUAUUUGCAGAACUCAAAAUCUCCAUUUGGAAAGCACUUCUGCACCACAAAUGCAACAAGAUACGAAACAAAAACUUGGAGCCUCCCCCCUUUGUUAACGGAGCUCCCUGUUUCCAAGUUACCAUCACCCUUACUUAAACCACUUCCUAGCUCCUGUGCCCCAUCUCUACAAAGGGAUUACUUGUGCCUCCAGGGUAUAACUCACAGAGUUCUACAGGGUAUCAAGUAUGUUAAUGGACAAGAUGCUUUGCAAACUCUAAAGAGGCAAGACAAGGUACACCUCUGACUCCUGGUGCUUAUCGCAAAAAGCAAGCUUUCUUUAGCUUUUUCAUGGUACCAGCUCAACAGCUUGUAGCAAUCACAGCAUGUGGAGUCCUUUGUUCAUUCAACAAAUAUUUAUUGUGCCAGCCACAGGGAGGGAACAGGAAAAAGAUCCUAGGGGCACAAGGUAGAGAAAUCUCUGAUAAGAUAAAACACACAAAAGGGCUUUUCCCCUUUGUAUAUGGUUUCUCCCUUCCAUUCUCCUCAGUCCUAUGGAAGAGAAACUAUAAAAGAAGCAGUGGGAACUCAACAGAAUCUAAUGGCAUAUGCGGGCACUGUAACUCUUCAAUCAGGUCUACACUCCUAAGCAGAAUAAACAGACCACUAGUGGCUGGAGAGAGAAAUACAUGAUGAGAAAACUAAGACCUUUUGGAUGAAAAACUAAUGUCAUUAUGAACCAGACUUAGAAGGGACUGAACUCCCAAUGAAGACUGAGGUUUAGGAGUUCUUGCAGGAGCUCAGUGGGUUAAGAAUCCAACUGCAGCAGCUUGGGUUGCUGCAGAGGCAUGAUCCCUGGCCCCACAGAGUGAGUGGGUUAAGGAUCUGGCAUUGCUGUAGUUGCAGUGUAGGUUGAAGUUGUGGCUUGGAUUCAAUGCCUGGCCCAGGAACUUCCAUAAGCUGAGGGUGUAACCAUAAAAUUAAAAAAAAAAAAAAAGACGAAGAUUCAAUUAAAUUUGAGAAGUCUCCUCUCCUCUAUGUCUGAAG
rnacentral:lncRNA from 1 species